ACACUUUAAUAGCCUCUGUUAACCAUCAUCUUAAGCAUUGCAUUAUCAAAGGUAUUACCAAUCAUUACAGGAGUUUAAGAGGAGGAAAAGUAAACUCAAAAAUAGACACUUUCCUUCUCCUUUAUCUUUAAUUUGCCCUGAAGUGAUUUCAUAUGUUUUUGUUUGUCUGUGUUCUGAAUGCUACUUCGUUUCUUUUUCAGAUGUGUUUUACAUGUUUACACAAGUGCACAAACUCUGCUGUGACCAUGUAAAAGUUAUUAGAACAGUAAAUAUAACCUAUAGCUGACUUGUUGGCUUCAUACCCACCAAUCAAAAUAAAACUCCAGAAAGAAAUUAGUGCUUCACAGCUCUAUGAAGAAUGAUAGAAAAUCUAAUAUCUGCUACCCCAAGACUAGCAAGCCAAUAGCUGUGGCUUGUCAUCAAGCCCAUUAAUAAUACCAGAUUUGGAAAAUAGGAAGUACAAUGGUCCCUGGCUGAUGGAAGACACAUGCCUUAAAGACAGCUGCACAGAACACAUCUU